GCCCAUGUAGAUCAAUGGUAGAUCGUCUCGAAGAAUUAUGUCGAUGCAACUCAAGUAUCGAGAAGACGGAGGUUCGAUCCCUCUUGUGGGCU